GUCGCCCAACCAACCGAGCCACCCAGGCGCCCCUCUAAAAUGUUUUUAUGCAGUUGAACUCAUAUUCGAAUAAGCUAGUGUGGAAUUUUAAUGAAAAUUUUCCUUUUACAGGCAAUUCAUUUUAUAGUACAUUUCAUUGGGAGGUAAACUUGUUAAGUAGUAGAAUUUCAUUGUAACAAAUACACCAUUUAAAUUCACAUACUUAGGAUGCAAGAGCUGGGUGUAUUUGCAGAUGAAGUAUAAUAAUCUGGGAAAGACACUGUGGCAGUGAUUGGCUAAUUGUUCACCAAACCUGUUUUCCUUUGUUCCUGCUGAUACAGUUUGGUCUACAUUUCCCAACUUCCUCUGCAGUUAGAUGUAGCUAUGUGACUGUGUCUGGGCAAAAGAAGGAGAGUAAAAGUGAUGUACAUUUCUUCCUUUAGCUGUUUAAAGAGAAAUCUCCCAUAUAGCCUCCAUGCUCUCUUUCAACCCCUGGUGCCAACUGAAUAUUGCAUCCAAAGGGACCAUGGAAACUACAUGUUGAAGAAGAUAAAAUCUCCAACAGUCAGAGAUCCUAAAUGAUAACAGAGUUCAGAAAGCCCCAACCCUACCUUCCUGCUACCUGAACUUUGCAUGAUUAAAAAAUGAACUCUGUUGUUUUAAAUCACCAGGAUUCUAUGAUUUAACUAUUUCAGCAGCUCACAUCACAUUAAAAGAAGAUAUUAAUUUUCUUUCAAGGUGAUACCAAGAACCUAAUUUCAUUCCCAUUCACAUCUUUUCUCAUUUUUCUUCCAUGUAUAUUUGCUGCCAUAAGUGACCAGGCAAUUUGAAUAGAUGAGGAUGUUUGGAGGUUUAUAAAGGAGUGAGGGGAUUGAAGAUGCGUGAGGUAAGAGAGAGGACUUGAAGGAUAUAAUUGUUUCCUAUUCUCCGUAUAAGAUAACCAUCACUCCCCCUGUGUCUGGCCCAGGCAUUCAUUUCAAAGAUUCACACUCCUGCAAGCUGUUUCUUUCCACCUGCUAAUGGCAUACCCAUUGCAAAGCAUAAUUUGUGAAAACUUUGAUCACCAUUCCCUUCCUUACCGAGUUUAACAUUCACAUAUAAUCAAACUUACACCCUGGGAUGCAAACUAACCAUAACAUUAAAAGUGAAUAGAACAGGGCGCCUGGGUGGCUCCAUUGGUUAAGCGACUGCCUUCGGCUCAGGUCAUGAUCCUGGAGUCCCUGGAUCGAGUCCCGCAUCGGGCUUCCUGCUCGGCAGGGAGUCUGCUUCGUCCUCUGACCCUAUCCCCUCUCAGGUGUUCUCUCUCUCUCAUUCUCUCUCAAAUAAAUAAAUAAAAUCUUUAAAAAAAAAAAAAGUGAAUAGAACACCACUGGAUAUCUUUUCUUUUUUAUGGAUCUGAUAAUAGGUGACCGAGGAUCUCUCAUGGUAAACAGUUUUGGGAAAGAUGCAAAAUGUGUCAGAAGAAGGGCCUAUCUCUGAUAGGGCAUGUUGAGAUUGUAGCAUACCCCUUAGAAUCUUUGGCCAAUAGAUUAGCCAAUUAGAGAUACUCUUACAUUGUUUUCUUAUUACUUCUCAGUCUGUUUGCCUUGCUAGACCUUCAUGAUUCCUUCCCUUGAGAGCAAGUAGAAGGUAAAUUCACUUCCCUAUGCUGAAUAUCCAUUAUAAUUCCUGAUACAUUGGAAUUGUAAGUGCUUAGAACUUCUUGGUUGAAAACCAAAUGAUUGUCGGGGCGCCUGGGUGGCUCAGUCGUUAAGCGUCUGCCUUCGGCUCAGGUCAUGAUCCCAGGGUCCUGGGAUCGAGCCCCGCAUUGGGCUCCCUGCUCUGCGGGAAGCCUGCUUCUCCCUCUCCCUCCCCCCCGCUGCUUGUGUUCCCUCUCUCACUGUGUCUCUCUCUGUCAAAUAAAUAAAUAAAAUCUUAAAAAAAAGAAAACCAAAUGAUCGCUGAAAGUAGUAUGGUAUGUGUCUGUCUGAUAUGAAAAGUGUUCCUUGUAUUAUGCAUCUUCUGCAUUAUUUCUUUUUACCCACAUCAGUAAUGUGCCUUUAAGAUAUAGAUCAUUAUCUGGCAAUUGAAAAUAUUUUUAUGAAAAACCUUAUUAUGAUAAUGUUUGUUGUAAGGAAUUUAUCUAAAUUUAUAUCCCCUUUGUUUGAUGAAUAUCUUCAGUUGUGUACUCUAAACAAAACUAUUAGAUUAUUCUUUUGAUUGUUAGAGUUUAUAAUUUUGCAAGAAUUAGGCAAAUAGCAGACACACACAGGGACAGAUUGGACAGACUCCCUCCCUCCCCCACAGGAGCUUUAAAGGAAUACAUUCUGGCCCUGUGGACGACUGGCUCCUCUUCAAUCCAGUGGCAUAUGGCUAGGCUUGAGCAAACAGAUGUCUGUACCUAAUCAGGCAUUUAUUGUCUCAGUUCAGGUGCUAGGCCAGGCUGAUGUUUACAGCUGUGCUGUGGUUGAAAUUUUAAAGCCAUAGCAGUUUAUUCUCUGAAUCCAGUGCAUCUCUAAACUGUGGCAUUGUUGGCUUCUGGAAUUAUUUUCUUUUCCAAUCUAUAAGAUGAUGGUAAAACUUUAUUCUCACAGGGAUUGUGAUAAGCAAAGUGAAAUUCAGUUCUAAAUUGUCAUAAGUGAAAUUUAAAAAGCUUUUUGUCUAUGUGGUCUUAGGUGGCAGAAGUAAAAUUAUAAGUAAGCCCCAAUUUCUUCUAGGUACAUUAUUGCCUAGCUUUAGUAAAUGGAUGGUUCCUUUAUAGAAGUGGGUAUAUCAAUCACUUUGACCCCUUGGGAGGCUAGCACUAGGUGCUAUUUGAUAUAACUCUUCCCAAGGAAUUUCUAGCUGGCUGGACUAAAUUUGCCUUUGGUGGUAUAGCAUAUGGACUUUUGUCUUGGUAGUGAUUACAUUUAAAUAUACAGGAAAAGCAUGUAAUACAAUAAAACAAGCAUAUCUACCUUGGAAGUCAAAGAGAACCUGGGGCAGAAUGCAUGAUGUUUGAUACUCAGAACUGAGGAAAACUUAACCACUGUACUAGUCAGGCCAAAUCUAGGAAUAUCUGUAUACCCAGAGGCCUUUUUUUUCCCCCUAAGGGAUCCUACCUGUAACACCUUACUGAGGAUAUAACCCAAGGCACAACUCUAGGUGGCCAUGUUCUGUAUGACCUUGCCAUCUGCAUUUGCCCUAAAGCAGUCAGGCUUUGGGGAGUCUGACCCUUUAAAUGGCCCAGCACAAGUACUUUAUAUAUCCAACUCAUAAUGAUGACAUGAGUCACUAGAAGCCGUGAGUAAGCAAGAGUGAUAUAUAAGUAAGAGCCAAGUCAUGAGAUUUUCAAAAAGUGUGUGCGUGGGGCUGCAGAGAUUUUACUUCAUAUCUGCAGGGGAAGAGGAUGAUCAACAAAUUACUGCUGCCAAAGGCCUAAGGAACUAUAACCAGAUUUUUACACAUCUGUCUAAUCCUGGACAACUUGAAAUUGCAACUUGAAAUUCUCAGCCUGUGUUCCUAUACUUCGCGUGAGGCCUGGUUAAGCUGCUUUCCAUGAAUUACCAUGAGGCCUAGCCACAUGGCAUACCUUGUUCCUUGUUUUCACGUGAAGCCUAUGAUAAUGCCCCCUAGAUACUCUUCUCACACACACACAACCACAAACAGUUACGGGAGAUAACUUGAGUCUCUAUUCUUUGCAGCCAAAGGAUCCUAAUUUAUACAACUGCCCUGUGAGUUCAACUCUUAUUAUUUUGGCUGUGGCAACCGAGGCAAGGACUGAUGAACAGUAGCAGUUUUAUGUGCAUGUCAAGAGUGUACAGACUUUGAACAGGAAAGGCAACUUACCUCUAAUUGUUUAAGAAAGCUAACGUGAUACAGGGAGGACCCAGAGAAUGAUGGAUAAUGCUGAUGACAUGACAUGACAUUUGAGGAGACUACAUGGAAAUGUUUAUUGAGCAAAAAAGAAGUAUAGGAACAAUAUUUUUUUUUUCUUUCUGCUAAAGUAUGAGUUCCUGAGGCAUCCAUCUUGGUAUGUCUCACCAAUGCCCAGGAGGGGGCUUUGUACACAGUAGGUAGAACGCCAAAUUGAUAAUGUGGCCCAGCCAUUGGUUUGUCUUGUUUAGCAUCAGCUUUGAAUUAGCUGGUAAAAAUAUGCUUUUAGGCAGACUGAACUGUAAACUGAAGAGAGAGACAUGAGUCAGAAACAAGAGUAGGAUUUCCAGAAGCUUCUGGGGGAGGUAGAUAUAGACAGUGCAAAAAUAGCCUAGGAACUACAUGAGCAAAUUUCAGAGAGCCAGAUAAGAAACUGCCUUCCUCACUCAGGGUACUAAGGACCAGAACAUACCGUUAUCAGGAACACCUAUAGCACAUAGGAGAGCAUGGCCUUUGGCCAGAGAGCAGGGAAUAGGUAGUGAAGGAGAACUGGCAAAAAACAAAUUCUAGAUUCUAGAAUCUAGAACAUAUCUGAUGGCAUUAUCUCCCUUCUGUCUCACAAAUCUUCCAACUGCACUAGGAGAACAAAAAGGAGAAACAUGAGCCCCAUCUUUAAAGAAACUAGGAGACACGCAACCCCAAACCACAGUAUGCAAUGAGGAACAGACAAAUGCAGUUGAAGAAGGAUAUCUACAGCUACAGAUCUCAGACAAACCAGUAAUGCCCAGUGUAGACUAAUGGGAGUGGGUGCGUGGGGUGGCAGCAAGAGCUUCCUUGGCCCUGAAUAGGCAGAAAGAGGAAGCGGGGUAAUGGGCUGAAUGGAGAAUCACACAGACAAGAUUGAAAACAUGGGCAAAAGCUUACCGGGAAAACACAAUAAAGUAGGAUUGCAUCUUUAAUAUCAGACAUGAUUGAAUUUGGAGGAAAAAGCUUGAAAUAAGGCAAAGAAGGAUGAUUCAUAAUAGCAGUAUACCACUACCAUUUAUAAAGCAAAAACUGCAGAAAAUAUGAAGAGAAAUAGUUACAUGAUAGUAGUAAGAAAACAUUAAUUCACUUCUCUCAGUUCAAGUGAUCAGGUAGACAAGAAAUAAGAAAAAGAAAACCGAAAUAAAAAUCAUGAAUAAAGGUACUCCUGGGUGGCUCAGUUGGUUAAGUGUCUGCCUUUGGCUCAGGUCAUGAUCUCAGGGUCCUGGGAUCGAGUCCCACGUUGGGCUCCCUGCUCGAUAGGGAGUGGGCUUCUCCUUCUGCCCUUCCCCCUGCUGUGCUUGUGCUCUCUCUCUUUAUCUCUCUCUCAAAAAUAAAUAAAAUCUUUAAAAAAUAAUAAUUAAUAAAGCAACUAUUUGUCACUUUGUAUUCUGAAAGCUAAUAGGCCUUAUUAAAUGCUGAAUAAAACAUUCACAAAAGUAGAUCCUAAAGGGAAUUCAAUGAAUUUCAGAAGGUGAAAGGAAUACAUAUAGCACUCUCUAAUUUUGUUGCAAUAAAACUAAAAAUUAAGAAAAGAAUUUUUUAAUUGGGAUGCCUGGGUGGCUCAGUCCUCAAGCGUCUGCCUUUGGCUCAGGUCAUGAUCCCAGGGUCCUGGGAUUGAGCCCCGUCGGGCUCCCUGCUCAGCGGGAGGCCUGUGUUUCCCUCUCCCACUACCCCUGCUUGUGUUCCCUCUUCCGCUGUGUCUCUCUGUGUCAAAUAAAUAAAAAAUAAAA